rnacentral:miRNA from 1 species
UACCCGUAAUUGCCAUGACUGUU